AGAGGAAGUAAAAGUCGUAACAAGGUUUCCGUAGGUGAACCUGCGGAAGGAUCAUUACCGAGUGAGGGCCCUUUGGGUCCAACCUCCCACCCGUGUUUAUUUACCUUGUUGCUUCGGCGGGCCCGCCUUAACUGGCCGCCGGGGGGCUUACGCCCCCGGGCCCGCGCCCGCCGAAGACACCCUCGAACUCUGUCUGAAGAUUGUAGUCUGAGUGAAAAUAUAAAUUAUUUAAAACUUUCAACAACGGAUCUCUUGGUUCCGGCAUCGAUGAAGAACGCAGCGAAAUGCGAUACGUAAUGUGAAUUGCAAAUUCAGUGAAUCAUCGAGUCUUUGAACGCACAUUGCGCCCCCUGGUAUUCCGGGGGGCAUGCCUGUCCGAGCGUCAUUGCUGCCCUCAAGCCCGGCUUGUGUGUUGGGCCCCGUCCUCCGAUUCCGGGGGACGGGCCCGAAAGGCAGCGGCGGCACCGCGUCCGGUCCUCGAGCGUAUGGGGCUUUGUCACCCGCUCUGUAGGCCCGGCCGGCGCUUGCCGAUCAACCCAAAUUUUUAUCCAGGUUGACCUCGGAUCAGGUAGGGAUACCCGCUGAACUUAAG
rnacentral:rRNA from 1 species